rnacentral:rRNA from 1 species
AUACGUAGGUGGCAAGCGUUGUCCGGAUUUACUGGGCGUAAAGGAUGCGUAGGCGGAUACUUAAGUCAGAUGUGAAAAUCCCGAGCUUAACUUGGGAACUGCAUUUGAAACUGGGUAUCUAGAGUGUGGGAGAGGAAAGUGGAAUUCCUAGUGUAGCGGUGAAAUGCGUAGAGAUUAGGAAGAACACCAGUGGCGAAGGCGACUUUCUGGACCAUAACUGACGCUGAGGCAUGAAAGCGUGGGGAGCAAACAGGA